AAUAGUUUUUUUCAUAUGCAAAAACUUAUUGUUUGAGAUAAUAAUAUGUUUUAAUUAAUUAGUUUGCAUGAUAUAUAUUGAACUUAAUAACAUAAUUAACAUGUUAAUACAAAAUAAGGUAACCUCUCAUACAUGCUGGGCUGUAGACAACAAAGUCCUUUAAUGUUACUGGGCAAAAAAAAAAAAAUGCAAAAGAACCGGUCGGAUUAGUUGAUCUGAACCGGUAAUGUACCAACCGGUUAACACAGAUUUGAUCUCGUUGGUUAGAGUCUAGACGGGUCAUUUUCAAUUCCGCGAAACACAAUCAACCUAACUUCUUCUUCUCCAUUUUCUUCAUCUUCUUCUCCAUUUUCUUCAUCUUCUUCUUUAAUCUCGUCUUCUUCAGCUCAAAACCUAAACCAAACAAAACCUUAACACCACUUCUUCUCUCGAUCAAUCAAUCAGCGAUUAUUGACCUUUAAUCGACCAUAGAUUUUUCCUUUAAUCCUCAGAGAAAACGUAAUCGAGUGAAGACGGGUCAUUUUCAAUUCCGCGAAAGACAAUCAACCUAACUUCUUCUUCUCCAUUUUCUUCAUCUUCUUCUCCAUUUUCUUCAUCUUCUUCUUUAAUCUCGUCUUCUUCAGCUCAAAACCUAAACCAAACAAAACCUUAACACCACUUCUUCUCUCGUUUGGUCAAUCAGCGAUUAUUCACCUUUAAUCGACCAUAGAUCUUUCCUUAAUCGUCGAUCCCAAUUAACAUGGCUUCGAACGGCGCUUCUCCGAGGAUUGUUGAUGCUACUGAUAACAGCUUGGAUAAGAUUCCGCAGCAAUUGGAAUCGAGGGUUAUCGGAACUUGCUUCUGGGACCUCUUAUUCAAGCGAGCUGAAACUGAAUUAACAUAGAAUCCGACUAAUUGAAAGUUAGAAACUCCUCAACUUAGCAUAAGCAGAUCAAAAAAUGAAGAGAAGG